UUGCUGAGCAAGUCUUCUCUGUCAGAUCACUGAUAUCCACCAACCUACAUUUGCUAUGGUUGGUGGAGUCUCUGCCAAAGGAGAUUUGCUCAC
rnacentral:sRNA from 1 species